CCAGCACCCCGAGUGGUCGGGACGAUUAUUGGGCCUAAAGCAUCCGUAGCCGGUUUUACAAGUCCUCCGUUAAAUCCAACCGCUUAACAGAUGGGCCGCGGAGGAUACUAUAAGACUAGGAGGCAGGAGAGGCAAGCGGUACUCAGUGGUAGGGGUAAAAUCCGUUGAUCCAUUGAAGACCACCAGUGGCGAAGGCGGCUUGCCAGAAUGCGCUCGACGGUGAGGGAUGAAAGCUGGGGGAGCAAACCGGAUUAGAUACCCGGGUAGUCCCAGCUGUAAACGAUGCAGACUCGGUGAUGGACUAGCUUCAUGCUAGUCCAGUGCCGCAGGGAAGCCGUUAAGUCUGCCGCCUGGGUAGUACGGUCGCAAGACUG
rnacentral:rRNA from 1 species